rnacentral:rRNA from 1 species
GGCUCGCAGGCGGUUUCUUAAGUCUGAUGUGAAAGCCCCCGGCUCAACCGGGGAGGGUCAUUGGAAACUGGGAAACUUGAGUGCAGAAGAGGAGAGUGGAAUUCCACGUGUAGCGGUGAAAUGCGUAGAGAUGUGGAGGAACACCAGUGGCGAAGGCGACUCUCUGGUCUGUAACUGACGCUGAGGAGCGAAAGCGUGGGGAGCGAACAGGAUUAGAUACCCUGGUAGUCCACGCCGUAAACGAUGAGUGCUAAGUGUUAGGGGGUUUCCGCCCCUUAGUGCUGCAGCUAACGCAUUAAGCACUCCGCCUGGGGAGUACGGUCGCAAGACUGAAACUCAAAGGAAUUGACGGGGGCCCGCACAAGCGGUGGAGCAUGUGGUUUAAUUCGAAGCAACGCGAAGAACCUUACCAGGUCUUGACAUCCUCUGACAACCCUAGAGAUAGGGCUUUCCCUUCGGGGACAGAGUGACAGGUGGUGCAUGGUUGUCGUCAGCUCGUGUCGUGAGAUGUUGGGUUAAGUCCCGCAACGAGCGCAACCCUUGAUCUUAGUUGCCAGCAUUCAGUUGGGCACUCUAAGGUGACUGCCGGUGACAAACCGGAGGAAGGUGGGGAUGACGUCAAAUCAUCAUGCCCCUUAUGACCUGGGCUACACACGUGCUACAAUGGACAGAACAAAGGGCUGCAAGACCGCAAGGUUUAGCCAAUCCCAUAAAUCUGUUCUCAGUUCGGAUCGCAGUCUGCAACUCGACUGCGUGAAGCUGGAAUCGCUAGUAAUCGCGGAUCA